AUGAACGCUAGCUACAGGCUUAACACAUGCAAGUCAGGGGCAGCAUGUGUUGCUUGCAACCAAUGAUGGCGACCGGCGCACGGGUGAGUAACGCGUAUCCAACCUUCCCCUUAGUAGAGGAUAGCCCGGCGAAAGUCGGAUUAACACUCUAUGUUGUAUUUUGAUGGCAUCUGACGAAUACCAAAGAUUUAUCGCUAAGGGAUGGGGAUGCGUCUGAUUAGGUUGCAGGCGGGUAACGGCCCACCUGGCCUACGAUCAGUAGGGGGUUCUGAGAGGAAGGUCCCCACACUGGUACUGAGACACGGACCAGACUCCUACGGGAGGCAGCAGUGAGGAAUAUUGGUCAAUGGGCGCGAGCCUGAACCAGCCAAGUAGCGUGCAGGACGACUGCCCUAUGGGUUGUAAACUGCUUUUAUCAGGGAAUAAAGUGAGGCACGUGUGCCUUUUUGUAUGUACCUGAUGAAUAAGGACCGGCUAAUUCCGUGCC
rnacentral:rRNA from 1 species